rnacentral:rRNA from 1 species
GGUUCCUGUCCAACGUUAAUCGGGGCAGGGUGAGUCGACCCCUAAGGCGAGGCCGAAAGGCGUAGUCGAUGGGAAACAGGUUAAUAUUCCUGUACUUGGUGUUACUGCGAAGGGGGGACGGAGAAGGCUAUGUUGGCCGGGCGACGGUUGUCCCGGUUUAAGCGUGUAGGCUGGUUUUCCAGGCAAAUCCGGAAAAUCAAGGCUGAGGCGUGAUGACGAGGCACUACGGUGCUGAAGCAACAAAUGCCCUGCUUCCAGGAAAAGCCUCUAAGCAUCAGGUAACAUCAAAUCGUACCCCAAACCGACACAGGUGGUCAGGUAGAGAAUACCAAGGCGCUUGAGAGAACUCGGGUGAAGGAACUAGGCAAAAUGGUGCCGUAACUUCGGGAGAAGGCACGCUGAUAUGUAGGUGAAGUCCCUCGCGGAUGGAGCUGAAAUCAGUCGAAGAUACCAGCUGGCUGCAACUGUUUAUUAAAAACACAGCACUGUGCAAACACGAAAGUGGACGUAUACGGUGUGACGCCUGCCCGGUGCCGGAAGGUUAAUUGAUGGGGUUAGCGCAAGCGAAGCUCUUGAUCGAAGCCCCGGUAAACGGCGGCCGUAACUAUAACGGUCCUAAGGUAGCGAAAUUCCUUGUCGGGUAAGUUCCGACCUGCACGAAUGGCGUAAUGAUGGCCAGGCUGUCUCCACCCGAGACUCAGUGAAAUUGAACUCGCUGUGAAGAUGCAGUGUACCCGCGGCAAGACGGAAAGACCCCGUGAACCUUUACUAUAGCUUGACACUGAACAUUGAGCCUUGAUGUGUAGGAUAGGUGGGAGGCUUUGAAGUGUGGACGCCAGUCUGCAUGGAGCCGACCUUGAAAUACCACCCUUUAAUGUUUGAUGUUCUAACGUUGACCCGUAAUCCGGGUUGCGGACAGUGUCUGGUGGGUAGUUUGACUGGGGCGGUCUCCUCCUAAAGAGUAACGGAGGAGCACGAAGGUUGGCUAAUCCUGGUCGGACAUCAGGAGGUUAGUGCAAUGGCAUAAGCCAGCUUGACUGCGAGCGUGACGGCGCGAGCAGGUGCGAAAGCAGGUCAUAGUGAUCCGGUGGUUCUGAAUGGAAGGGCCAUCGCUCAACGGAUAAAAGGUACUCCGGGGAUAACAGGCUGAUACCGCCCAAGAGUUCAUAUCGACGGCGGUGUUUGGCACCUCGAUGUCGGCUCAUCACAUCCUGGGGCUGAAGUAGGUCCCAAGGGUAUGGCUGUUCGCCAUUUAAAGUGGUACGCGAGCUGGGUUUAGAACGUCGUGAGACAGUUCGGUCCCUAUCUGCCGUGGGCGCUGGAGAACUGAGGGGGGCUGCUCCUAGUACGAGAGGACCGGAGUGGACGCAUCACUGGUGUUCGGGUUGUCAUGCCAAUGGCACUGCCCGGUAGCUAAAUGCGGAAGAGAUAAGUGCUGAAAGCAUCUAAGCACGAAACUUGCCCCGAGAUGAGUUCUCCCUGACCCUUUAAGGGUCCUGAAGGAACGUUGAAGACGACGACGUUGAUAGGCCGGGUGUGUAAGCGCAGCGAUGCGUUGAGCUAACCGGUACUAAUGAACCGUGAGG